rnacentral:rRNA from 1 species
GAUGAACGCUGGCGGCGUGCUUAACACAUGCAAGUCGAACGAAGCACUUUAUUUGAUUUCCUUCGGGACUGAUUAUUUUGUGACUGAGUGGCGGACGGGUGAGUAACGCGUGGGUAACCUGCCUUGUACAGGGGGAUAACAGUUGGAAACGACUGCUAAUACCGCAUAAGCGCACAGCAUCGCAUGAUGCAGUGUGAAAAACUCCGGUGGUAUAAGAUGGACCCGCGUUGGAUUAGCUAGUUGGUGAGGUAACGGCCCACCAAGGCGACGAUCCAUAGCCGACCUGAGAGGGUGACCGGCCACAUUGGGACUGAGACACGGCCCAAACUCCUACGGGAGGCAGCAGUGGGGAAUAUUGCACAAUGGGCGAAAGCCUGAUGCAGCGACGCCGCGUGAGCGAAGAAGUAUUUCGGUAUGUAAAGCUCUAUCAGCAGGGAAGAUAAUGACGGUACCUGACUAAGAAGCACCG